AUCAAGUGGGCUAUCGAUGGAUGGGCUUUGGCAAACAAGGAUUUCAAUGUCAAGUUUGCUCGUAUGUUGUGCACAAGCGCUGUCAUGAGUACGUCACAUUCAUAUGCCCGGGCAAGGAUAAAGGAAUCGAUUCCGAUUCACCACAAACAGUGCAUCAUUUCGAACCAUUCACAUUUGGUGGGCCAACUUUUUGCGACCACUGUGGCUCGCUACUCUACGGCAUCUAUCAUCAGGGUCUCAAAUGCUCAGCAUGCGACAUGAAUGUUCAUGCCCGGUGCAAGGAGAAUGUGCCGAGCUUAUGCGGUUGCGAUCAUACCGAACGACGAGGGCGCAUCAAUUUGGAGUUGAAUGUGAAGGAGAAUUUGUUGACGGUGCAAAUCAAAGAAGGCCGCAAUCUCAUUCCAAUGGAUCCAAAUGGUCUCAGCGAUCCAUAUGUCAAAGUCAAACUAAUUCCAGAUGAGCACGAAAAGUCAAAGAAAAAGACGCGCACCAUUAAGGCAUGUCUGAAUCCUGUGUGGAACGAGACCAUCAAAUAUGAUCUCAAACCAGAAGACAAAGAUCGUCGUGUACUGAUCGAGGUGUGGGAUUGGGAUCGUACAUCGCGCAAUGAUUUUAUGGGCGCGUUAUCCUUUGGCAUAUCCGAAAUUAUUAAGAAUCCCGCCAAUGGUUGGUUCAAAUUACUCACACAAGAGGAGGGUGAAUACUACAACGUGCCAUGCGCUGAUGCCACGCAGGAUCUGCUUAAACUCAAAAGUCAAAUGCGGAAAUCAUCGCAGAAGAAACCGCUGGUGAUGCGCAGCGAUACAAAUACACAGACACAAUCCAAAAAGGAUAUGAUACGUGCUACAGAUUUUAAUUUUAUCAAAGUGCUGGGCAAAGGUUCAUUUGGAAAGGUCAUGUUGGCCGAACGCAAAGGCACCGAAGAUCUCUACGCCAUCAAAAUACUCAAAAAGGAUGUCAUCAUACAGGAUGAUGAUGUCGAGUGUACAAUGAUUGAGAAGCGCGUGCUGGCGUUGGGCGAGAAGCCACCAUUCCUGGUGCAGUUGCACUCGUGCUUCCAAACGUUAGACCGCCUCUUCUUUGUAAUGGAGUACGUCAAUGGUGGUGAUUUGAUGUUUCAAAUACAACAAUUCGGAAAAUUCAAGGAGCCAGUCGCUGUCUUCUACGCCGCUGAAAUUGCCGCCGGCCUCUUUUUUCUACACAGCAAAGGCAUUUUGUAUCGUGAUUUGAAAUUGGACAAUGUCCUAUUGGAUGCGGAUGGUCAUGUUAAAAUUGCCGACUUUGGCAUGUGCAAGGAGAAUAUUAUUGGCGAUAAGACAACAAAGACAUUUUGCGGCACACCCGACUACAUAGCACCCGAGAUCAUCCUGUAUCAGCCCUAUGGUAAAUCGGUUGAUUGGUGGGCCUAUGGCGUUUUACUUUACGAAAUGCUCGUCGGUCAGCCGCCUUUCGAUGGUGAAGAUGAAGAGGAAUUGUUUGCUGCCAUCACCGAUCACAAUGUCUCCUAUCCGAAGAGUCUGAGCAAGGAGGCAAAGGAGGCGUGCAAAGGGUUCCUCACCAAACAGCUUACCAAACGGCUUGGCUGUGGGCCCACCGGUGAAGCGGAUGUGCGCAUUCAUCCAUUCUUCCGACGAAUCGAUUGGGAGAAAAUUGAGAAUCGUGAAGUGCAGCCACCAUUUAAGCCGAAGAUUAAACAUCGUAAAGAUGUCUCGAACUUCGAUAAGCAAUUCACGUCGGAGAAAACGGAUCUGACACCAACGGAUAAAGUAUUCAUGAUGAAUUUGGAUCAAACGGAAUUUGUUGGCUUCUCCUACGUGAAUCCGGACUAUGCAGUGCCUGUUUAAGUACAGUUAAAAUAAACAAACAUACAUGCCAGCAUUUGGUAAGCGCAGCAGCGUGGGAGUGGCACAGGAACUGAUAGAUGAAGGGUACAAGAGAGAAAGAGAGGUACGGAACGCCGCAUGAAAGAAGCAAAGAAGGGAAGCAGGAAAUGAAGCGUCUACUUGCUGCGAUGUUGUUGGAUGUUAAUAUUUUUCUAAGUAUAUCUUAUUUACCAACCAGGAACCCAUCGACGGCUGGUACAAGUUUCUCUCUCAAGUUGAGGGAGAGUACUACAACAUACCGCGCUCGGAUCCGGUCAACGACAUAGCGCGCUUGCGCGAUGAAGUGCGAAUGAGUGGAGUGUUUAAAGUGCUUUCCUAGAC